rnacentral:rRNA from 1 species
UACGAAGGGGGCUAGCGUUGUUCGGAAUUACUGGGCGUAAAGCGCGUGUAGGCGGGUCUUUAAGUCAGGGGUGAAAUGCCAAGGCUCAACCUUGGAACUGCCUUUGAUACUGGAGACCUUGAGUCCGGGAGAGGUGAGUGGAAUUGCGAGUGUAGCGGUGAAAUGCGUAGAUAUCUGGAGGAACACCGGUGGCGAAGGCGGCAUCCUGGACCAAUUCUGACACUGAGGAGCGAAAGCCAGGGGAGCAAACGGG